ACGCUGGCGGCAGGCCUAACACAUGCAAGUCGAGCGGUAACAGAAAGUAGCUUGUUACUUUGCUGACGAGCGGCGGACGGGUGAGUAAUGCCUGGGAAUAUGCCUUGAUGUGGGGGAUAACUAUUGGAAACGAUAGCUAAUACCGCAUAAUGUCUUCGGACCAAAGAGGGGGAUCUUCGGACCUCUCGCGUCAAGAUUAGCCCAGGUGAGAUUAGCUAGUUGGUGGGGUAAGAGCUCACCAAGGCGACGAUCUCUAGCUGGUCUGAGAGGAUGAUCAGCCACACUGGAACUGAGACACGGUCCAGACUCCUACGGGAGGCAGCAGUGGGGAAUAUUGCACAAUGGGCGAAAGCCUGAUGCAGCCAUGCCGCGUGUAUGAAGAAGGCCUUCGGGUUGUAAAGUACUUUCAGUCGUGAGGAAGGGURUGYAGUUAAUAGCUGYAYAUCUUGACGUUAGCGACAGAAGAAGCACCGGCUAACUCCGUGCCAGCAGCCGCGGUAAUACGGAGGGUGCGAGCGUUAAUCGGAAUUACUGGGCGUAAAGCGCAUGCAGGUGGUUCAUUAAGUCAGAUGUGAAAGCCCGGGGCUCAACCUCGGAACCGCAUUUGAAACUGGUGAACUAGAGUGCUGUAGAGGGGGGUAGAAUUUCAGGUGUAGCGGUGAAAUGCGUAGAGAUCUGAAGGAAUACCAGUGGCGAAGGCGGCCCCCUGGACA
rnacentral:rRNA from 1 species